ACGGAGGGUGCAAGCGUUAAUCGGAAUUACUGGGCGUAAAGCGCGCGUAGGUGGUUUGAUAAGCGAGAUGUGAAAGCCCCGGGCUUAACCUGGGAACGGCAUUUCGAACUGUCAGGCUAGAGAUGGUAGAAGGAGUGUGGAAUUUCCUGUGUAGCGGUGAAAUGCGUAGAUAUAGGAAGGAACACCAGUGGCGAAGGCGACACUCUGGACCAAUACUGGACACAUGAGG
rnacentral:rRNA from 1 species